GAUGAAGAACGUAGCGAAAUGCGAUACGUAAUGUGAAUUGCAGAAUUCAGUGAAUCAUCGAAUCUUUGAACGCAUAUUGCGCUCUCUGGUAUUCCGGAGAGCAUGCUUGUUUGAGUAUCAGUAAACACCUCAACUCCCCUUUCUUUUUUUGAAAUGGGAGCUGGACUUGAGUGAUCCCAACGCUUUUCUCACCGAAAAGUGGCGGGUUACUUGAAAUGCAGGUGCAGCUGGACUUUUCUCUGAGCUAAAAGCAUAGCUAUUUAGUCUGCCUAAAAAACAGAUUAUUACCUUUGCUGCAGCUAACAUAAAGGAGAUUAGUUCUUGUGCUGACUGAUGCAGGAUUCACAGAGACAGCUUCGGCUGGCCUUUGUAAACUCGAUCUCAAAUCAAGUAAGACUACCCGCUGAACUUAAGCAUAUCAAUAAGCGGAGGA
rnacentral:misc_RNA from 1 species